UCCCCCGUGGUGUAACUGGCAACACGCGUAGGCUCAUAACCUGUGCGCUGCGGGUUCGAAUCCCGCCGGGGGACCCA
rnacentral:tRNA from 1 species